ensembl:lncRNA
AGUACUGCUCUCCCACACCGGAGUGCAAGAAGCUGAGUUCUUAGCACUGGCGUGCCGUUGCUUCACAGUACCAGCACAAAGGGUUGGCGGUAUGUGUCAGCCUGCACGUCUUUGAAGGUGCUGGGAAUGAUUACACAGCCAGGGAGAAGAACUUGCCAGUGAUCGCGAGAGACACCGAGCAGUCCUCUCCAGACAUUCGUUGUCGAUCCUUUGUCAUACUUGCUCAGAAUUGGACGGCUUCGGAGAUUCUUCCAGAUGAUAACGCUAUAACCGAUUUGAGGAACCUUCGCACCUUUCCAGCUUCCCCUCACGUCCCUUCGCUCUCGUUUCGGGGGAGAAGUGCCCCUCUGUACUCUCCCAGGAGAAUAGCUCCGCAGCCACGGAAGCUCCUGGGCUCUUCCUAUAGCUCCUUUUUUACUCCGUUUUCUGGGCUGAGGGAGGCCGCCCUCAGCUGACGGGGGUCAACCUCCCGCCGCCGAAGGAGCCUCCCCGACGGCACAGAGCAGCCCCGGGCGGGCGCCGCGCUCCUCGCGUCCCCCGAGCUCUGGUUUUCUUCUUCCUGAAGCGCUGUGUACACAAAGGGCUCGCUUCUGCCUUUCAAUUAGGUGGCUGAGGAGCGCUACCGGAGGAGCCCGGGAUCCCCGAGGGCGCGGAGCUGCGUGCGAGUCCCACAGCCGGAGGAGAAAGGAAACGCGAAGAGCUUCUUCCAGCGGACGCUGCUCCCCUUCCCCUCCAUCCUGCGGGGUGAGGAACGGAGGGGCUCGGAGAGCGGCGGGGGGGAGGGUGGGAGGAAUCGCUAUUUUCCUUGAAGAACAAUUCAGGACAAUUAUUAUUAAUGCACGCAGCCGGCACCUGCGCGGCUCUCUGCCCGCUUCCCGAAUGGGACUUUUACUGCCCGUAAGCGGCGAACCAGGGCCGGUAAUAGGAUCAGGAAGGGAGGCGUUAGGCGGAAUGCCGCUGCGGCACUACUCGUAAAGGCGCGCUCCCGACAAACGCCUUCGGCCGAGAGGCUGUAAACGUUUUACGGGUAAUGAGAAAGGCAAGGGUUUGGCACGAAGGGGCGGGAAGGGUCGCACCACCUUUUGCUGGACGGGGCCGUGCUCGUUGCUGAAUGCUGGCGUGGGGGCUUCGGCCCGCCGAACGACCACGGAAAGCAAACCAGUAACUUUUACAGAGGAAAGUAAAAUAUUUCAAGUCAAGAACUCCUCUAGUAGCUGAAAAUUAACCUCUGACAACACGCGAGAUUUUCCCUCCCCGCCAGAUCAAAGAAACGUCUGUACGUUAAUUUCACCCUGAAAGAUUUGAGAAAUAACAGCGCCUCAGGGCAAAUUUUCAGCUUCAGAAGGACCCUUUGAGUCGAAGUAGGCGCAGAGAGUACGCCCAAAGCCGCGCAAUACAGCCUCAUUGAUUUUGCUGCGGUGUUCGCACGCCCGGGGAGUACAGAAGCGCAGAUCCCUGAGUUCUUCUGACGAGAUUUUAAUUAGGAAAUGGAAUUCCCCGCUCUGGAGCUGUGCCUUCGUGUAGAUGAGGCAUGACGGCUGGGAGCUUUGCCGAGGGGUGGGUUGGGGUCACGGUGACGAGAGGAGCGGAGCCAGGGCCGCCCCAAACGGCGGCUCUCUUCCUUCCGUCCUCCGUUCUUCUUUCCUUCCUUUUUUUUUUUUUUUCUUUCUCCCUUCGGUAUGCUGCUGAGAACCGACCCCGUGAAUUUCCCGAAGUGGGCCCCUUGGCGUUAUCACCGCUUAAUUCGAACGUUCCUUCCAAGAGGAAAGCAGCAGAGAGGCAAGGUGCUUGCCGCUAGCUCAGCCUGUGCGUUGUUGCCGUGGAUACGGUUCUAAAGCGGUUCGAUUUUAUCGAUGCAAAAGAAAACGUUGAAAAUUGAGGUAAGGAUUGGAUUAGCUCCGUGUCUGCCACCGCGGUGCAGUGUGCGCUGCGCGACGCGUACGAGCGGAGCUACCGCUUGCUCAGAGCUGACCUUGAGAAAGGGAAGAGCGUGACGAGGCGGGCACCGCUCCGUCGGGCUACAGCGCAUCUGUUAUCUUUAAAUGUUUGAAUCCCUUCGUCAAGAUUAUGGCGUUAUUCCAAGUGGUAAAACGCGGCUAUUUCGCUUCUCACUGCCGCAAGAAAAUAGAAACCUCCACUUUCCCCACUCUAGAAAGCAUUUUAAACCCAAAGCAUCAGAGUGUUUUUGCUUUUUAUUUUGCUUUCCCGAUUCAUAGCUGAGACGUUACAAACGAUUACGGGUUGGAAAACCUAUCGGAAACAGUGUGGUCACGUUAUGACAAAGCGCUAAUCUGACGCUUGCAAAACGGUGACAGUUGCAACGUUGUUUUUUUUUCCUUCUCUCUCCCUUCUCCCCCUUUUGUUUCCUUUCCUUUAAAGACAAACAUUUCGAAAAAUAAAAUAAAUAUUAAUAAUAAUCCCAAACGCUCCCGCGGUGACAGUUAGUCCCCUCUCCCCAGUGCAAGGAGUCAGGCCGGGCAAUUGGAAGCUCAUUUAAUUAUUUUCAUUCUAAUCGCUUUAAUCCCCCCCUCCCCCCCGCCGAGAGCAAAUGACGCUAAUGGGACCCACGUGGAGGAGCCCCGGGGUGGCGGCGCGGCUCCGCCCGGCCCCGUGCCCGGGCAGGUGGAGCCGGCGGGGCGGGGCUCGCCUCGGUCAGAGGCUUUACAAUAAAUAAAAUACUGC